CCCUGCGUCUAUUCGUCAGGCGCGAAGGCACUUCCGCGCUCCUGGGGUGGAGCCUUCGAGGUCAGCAGCACCGAGGCUGCUGAACUCGCUCGCCCAACCUUCGCCCUACACCCGCCUGGUCCAGAACCAACCAAUCAGCGCCCCGAGCCAUUGACUACCUAGCAACCCGGCGUCGUCAGCACUGAAUGAAAAACAUGCGCGCCCCCUGGAGCCCCGGAGGACUGUGCAACCAGACUCCCUUCGGCCACUGCCGGCGCCCCUCCGCGGAGCCUCCCCGGCUCGACGCCAGGGGGCGCCAGAGCCUCAUAAGCCGCCGCCCGGGCAGACAACCCGGCAGAUGACCCGGGGCAGCUGGGUGGGGACUCCGUGAGUAACCUCGCCCGACGAGCUGGGCAAAGGAAGCUCCAGAAGGGAAGGCCGUCAACUCUUUUAUCUGCAGACUCCGGCCCGUCGCCCGUCCCUAGCCCCAGCUCUCUGCCCUCAGCUACCCUGCCCAAACAUAGGCCUCACUGUCCCCACCUUCUUUGGGAAGCAGUGUGGCCAUUUCCUUCAGAAGCGGAAGUUUCCCACCCGACCCAACAGUAUCAGUCCUGGUAGGCUGUGAGCCAUCUUCGCAAGGACACGCGGGAGGUCACAACAGCCCUAUCACAUGGCAGACGGACCCAGAGUUCACCCUGGUGUGUGGGAAAGAACCACAGCACGCGCAUAAUUAGGAAUCCUGUCCAGCCGCGGGCAGCCUGGGUGACGUCCUCGCGUUCUUCCGAAUGCAGGAAGCCCCUGCAAAAGCCCGCAUCAGGUAGGCCGGACCGUGUGGAGUGCCAGGAGGAGGUAAACUCGCAGGGCCCUGGCUGCCCGGAAAGGGCUGGCCAGCGGGCAGGGGGAGAAUGGCAGGAGGGAGUCAUCGGUGACUGGAACACUCUGGCACGAACUCCGUGCGCUUCACGUCACUGAAGGUGCGGCUGGGGCGGUGGACUGGACCGUGCGCACACUACACAAGAAAGCCGGAAAGAAGGCAGGUGGAGAGGGGGGGGCGCCCGAGAGAAGGCGGAGGAAAGCCAGCUAGAGAGGGAAGUACGAAGCACCCCACACACCUGUCCGCUUGGCCACGCCCACUGGAAGCGGGAGCGCGGCGCGCCCGCUCGGAACGUCCUGCUUCCGUGGCCUCCACUGAACGGCGGUGGCAACGUUGGGCCAGGGGUCACGGCCAACAGACUCGGCUCCGAAGUCCCUGGCCGGGAGUUCCCCCCCCAGUAUGGGGUCUCAGCUCGCUGACAGUGCACCCCAAGUCGCCCCAAAUGGGGCUGUGAGCUAUGUGGGGAAGGGAGUCACGGCGACGGCGCAUCAUCGGGGAGGCUAGGACCUCGGGUUUGGGAGCUGCUGUCCCUACCCUGGCCGCCAGGUAUCGCUGGGCCACAGCCCUCAGCCCUCAGCCCCCACCCCCCACCUGGAUUGGGAGCCUCUGGAGCUCAGCAUCCUAGGCUCCCGCCUGGCUGCCCCACCCCCUCUGCCGCCCUCCAGGAUCGCCCUAUGACGCGAGCUUUUCGCUCUACAGACCACCCUCAACAGCUCCCCACCCCUUCUUUGCCAGCUACAGUUCACUAGGCUGACCUGGGCUCUUCCCGUCUGCAGAUGGUCUAAAGGGGUUUGGGAGACCUUUGGCCAGGGCUGGGACUGAGCUGCCAGGGGACAGUGGGGUUCUGACGGUAGCCCAGUGGGCAGGGGCUAGGUUGACAAAGGAGUUUCCUAAAGGGCCCCCUCCACUGUGCAAAGCCAGGACAUAACCAUGACAGCACAGGCCACUAUGGGGAGUCCCUGCUCAGGGAGGGGCCCAAACAUGGGGUCUGGUGUCUGGAUGGCUAGCUGCGCAGCUACAGCAAGCCCCUGCAAAAAAAACCACAGCUUGAUCUGGGGUAGAUGGGGACAAGGGUGGAGCAGCAGAAAGUGGGAAGGCAAGGAGUCCACACCACAGCUCCCCCAAAGCUUCUCAAAAAGGGAAGCAGCUCCAGCUGAAUCACUCUCUGACCCAUGGCCAGAGUCCUCCCAACACCACCCACUCCCAGGCCUCAAAUUCCCUCUGACCCUUUGCCCAGCCCAUUCCAGAACCGCAGAGGAGGGCCUUGGUGGGUCUGGAGGUCAGAGGUGCAGGGCUGGACUCAUGCCUUGCAAAGGGGGCCCCAGAGACCUCCUCAGGGGAGUGGGCAACAGUGCCUUCUGCAGCAGGCAGAGCAAGCACCCUGGGCUGGGAGUUCCCAGAUGUCGUUUCUUUCCACUAUCCACGUGUGCCCAAGUACUAGUGAACACACACACACACACACACACACACACACGUCUUCCACGUGUUCAGGUUUAUUGAAGGCACAAGGGGCUAUGAGGAGCCCUGGGUGUCUGGGGUAAGGCCCGGCAUCUGCUGAAUGGGCAAUGGCCCGGUGGGUGGCCAAGGAUAGGGUCUCCUCAACCUGUGCAGAGAGACAGGCAUUUCUUGAGUAUACCUCUCAGCCCUGCCUCCAGGCCCCUGAAUAUCAGACCUGGGGGGACAUUCGAAUCCUGAGAAGGAUGGGCUGGGUGGGACUGGAGGGAGGAUUAUACCUAGGUUUACUUGAA